AUUGAACGCUGGCGGCAGGCCUAACACAUGCAAGUCGAGCGGAUGAAGGGAGCUUGCUCCUGGAUUCAGCGGCGGACGGGUGAGUAAUGCCUAGGAAUCUGCCUGGUAGUGGGGGAUAACGUCCGGAAACGGGCGCUAAUACCGCAUACGUCCUGAGGGAGAAAGUGGGGGAUCUUCGGACCUCACGCUAUCAGAUGAGCCUAGGUCGGAUUAGCUAGUUGGUGGGGUAAAGGCCUACCAAGGCGACGAUCCGUAACUGGUCUGAGAGGAUGAUCAGUCAGACGGGAGAGACAGGCAGGCCGACAUUGAGAGGGAGGCGAGGGGGGGAGAAAAUGGGACACGUGCGGAGUGCAGGAUGCAGCCGUGCGGAGUUAGUGAAGGAGGUCUCCGUAGUAUAAAGCUCUGAAAGUUGGAAAGAUGAGAAGUUAAUUACUCCCUGGCUGUUAUGAACUCACCAACAGAAUAAGCACCGGCUAACGUCGUACCAGCAGCCGCGGUAAUAAGCGGAAGGGCACACGGCUGAAC
rnacentral:rRNA from 1 species